rnacentral:lncRNA from 1 species
GCCACUUGGAAGGUUUAUUGCACACGGCGGCAGUAGUAGCCCAAAACUUUGCACUUCUCACACAGGUGUUGGGGAUGUUCUUUGCUCUGGUCUGAAACAUCCAGGCCGUCUGGCUUUUCCAGGGGUCUCAAGAAGAUGGUGGAUGUUCUGCGGGAUUGUGGUAGAGACAGUGCAUGAUAGGAAAUCUCAAAAUAAGCCAUUAUUUUAUCCACUGUUCUUGCAGGGAUAGCAGACUACUGCUUAUCUUUC